AAAUGCGCUCCAGAAUUCAGCUCAGACAUGUUACAGAAUUCAAGAAAUAUUUGGAAGAUUUGAUACAACUUAUAGAACCUGUCAUUGGGAUUAUGCAAAACGCAGUAGAAAAAAGCAAGAUUUGGAUAGAAGAUAAAAAUGACAACCCGUCUAUCACCUACAGCGAGCUUUGCCAGGAACUUGAUUCAGCGACCACGGCUAUGUUGGGUGCAGCGUUACACAUUAUAAGUAAA